rnacentral:rRNA from 1 species
AGUGGGGGAUAACGUAGCGAAAGUUACGCUAAUACCGCAUAUGCCCUGAGGGGGAAAGGAGGGGAUCGCAAGACCUUUCGCUUUCGGAGUGGCCGAUAUCAGAUUAGCUAGUUGGUGAGGUAAAGGCUCACCAAGGCGACGAUCUGUAGCUGGUCUGAGAGGACGACCAGCCACACUGGGACUGAGACACGGCCCAGACUCCUACGGGAGGCAGCAGUGGGGAAUUUUGGACAAUGGGGGCAAGCCUGAUCCAGCCAUGCCGCGUGAGUGAAGAAGGCCUUCGGGUUGUAAAGCUCUUUCAGACGGAAAGAAAUCGUGUNAGCUAAUAUCCUGCGUGGAUGACGGUACCGGAAGAAGAAGCACCGGCUAACUACGUGCCAGCAGCCGCGGUAAUACGUAGGGUGCGAGCGUUAAUCGGAAUUACUGGGCGUAAAGCGUGCGCAGGCGGUUUUGUAAGACAGACGUGAAAUCCCCGGGCUUAACCUGGGAACUGCGUUUGUGACUGCAAGGCUAGAGUGCGGCAGAGGGGGGUAGAAUUCCA